GCGGGAAUAGCUCAGUUGGUAGAGCGUCUGCUUCCCAAGCAGAAGGUCGCCGGUUCAAGCCCGGUCUACCGCUCCA
rnacentral:tRNA from 1 species